CCAGAAACUAGAAGCAUUUGGCUGGUUAAGCUUUUAGGCUUUGAGCAGCACAGUUCAGCUGAGAUUCUUUUGGAUGAGGACUGAGAAGCUUCCAGUCUGAGGAAACAGGACCAGCUGAGGAACUGGCGAGGGUCUGGAAUGAAGGGUUGAUGACCUAAAAACCUCAGGUGGACUGAGAAGCUCUGGACAGGAAAGCUGACUUCACAGAAAACAUUUGUGAAAAUUUCUAAUCAGGAGAAUCACAUAGCAAACCAGCUGGGAUCAGCCACUUUCCCACUGCAGGGAAACUGACCUGCAGAUGGACUUUUCUAGCCCCACAUUUCCCCCUUUUCCAUCCUAUAAAACCCCAACACCACCACAGCACAUGUGCAUCAUCUUCCUUCCACAGAGAGAGUCUGGAUUUUCAUUCUGAUUAAAGGACAAUUCUGCUUCCGGAGAUGACUGUCUGCUUUUCUUUCCAUACCACCUCCAUCAGAACCAAUUGUACUGGCUGGUUUUGUGUGUCAACUUGACACAAGCUGGAGUCAUCAGAGAGGAAGGAGCCUCAGCUGAGGAAAUGCCUCCUUGGGAUCCAGCUGCAAAGCAUUUUCUCAUUUAGUGACCAAUGAGGGAGGGCUCAGCACAUGGUGGGUGGUGCCAUCCCUGGGCUGCUGGUUCUGGGUUCUACAAGAAGGUGGGCUGAGCAAGUCAUGGGAAGCAAACCAUUAAGCAGUAUUCCUCAAUGGCCUCUGCAUCAGCUCCUGCCUCCAGAAUCCUGCCCUGUUUGAGUUUCUGUCCUUCCUUCUGUGAUGAACAGCAAUGCUGAAGUGUAAGCCUAGUAAACCCUUUCCUCUCCAA